UGGAGCCGGAUAUUAGUUGAUUUCCUUGAGCCCGAUUCUCAGCUAGUCUAUCUUACUGACCCUGAGAGAAUGAAAGGCAAAGUCAACCCCUGCAGAAUUUGAAAACUGGAAGAAAUGCCACUAAACAUGUCUAGUGCAGUAAUGAUUCUGCAUAUAUAAUAAUAAUAAUAAUAAUAAUAAUAAUAAAGUCGUUUUUUUAUGGUUUCUUGUAAUAUGGGAAAGCCAUCAUAAAGUAAAUAAACAUAAUUACAAAUAAAACACAAAAAUAAAAAUAACUUCGUCUGUGUAUGACAAGUAAAUAAGAAUUUUGUGGUCUACAUUAACGUCAUCAUCUGCACACACACAUACACAUACACAGUAAUAUGAAUAUACAUACUUGUAUAUAAUUUUGUAUGCUUUAUGUUUAUUUCUUUUCAAUCUCUUCCUUCUUCUCCUUCUCCUUCCUCUAUACACUCUGUAAUCUACAUCCUCCUCUUUCACCUCCUCCACAGCUGGAGGGGAAAACGGUAAGGAGUGGGUGGGGGGAAUUGUUGUUGUUGUUGUUGUUCAUUUCAGUCUUUGAAAUGAAUUUGUCAAAAUUAAUGUGAAAUUCUUCACAUAUUGUUAUGGCUGUUAUGUAUUAUCAUUAUUAUUAAUUUUAUUAUCAUUUCAGUUCACACCUCAUCAAUAACGGUUUUCUUUAAUUUCUCCAAUAUUACAUCAAUAUGCAUGUUUUGCGAUCAUUAUGGAUUCACAAAAUUCAAUGUGCUUUUCAACAUGGUGCCAAUAUAAUUAUCACAUUUAUUAUGGUUAGACAUAUCUUUUUAUUUUCAUUUCAAUGUUGUAAAGCACAUGUAAAUAUACAUGCAUAUAACACACACAUAUAUAUAUAUAUAAUAUAUAUAUAUAUAUAUAUAUAUAUAUAUAGAUAUAUAUAUAUAUAUAUAUAUAUAUAUAUAUAUAUAUAUAUAUGUUGUAUAUCUCAUCUCAUUUGAAAUUUCUUUCAAUUUUGUUAAUUUGGAUUUCCUUCUUUUCUCAAUUUUUGUGUCAUUUGAUAUGGUUUUAAAAUUCUUCUUGAAUUAUUAUUAUUAUUAUUUUAUGUCCAUUUUAUAUCAUUCUUAUAUGAAUUCUUAUUUAUUUCAAUUUAUAUGGUUUGUUAUUGUAUAAUAUCACUUUAAUAUGUAUGAUUCAAAAUAGUUUUAUGAGAAUUUCAAGAAUUAAAUACCAUUUUUAUACAAUGUUUGAUAUUUUAGGAUAAUUCAAAACUGUUGUAUGUGUGUGUGUGUGGUGUGUGUGUGUGUCAGAGAGAAAGAGAGAGAGAGAAACAGACUGACAGACAGGGAGAGACUGUUGUGUGUGUGUGUGUGUGUGUGUGUGUGUGUGUAGGAAGGUUUUAAAUAUCGCGACUGAAGGCGGGUAUGAGAAGAGAGGGUAACUUGAUAAGUCUGACAUUCCUGCAGACGAUAGAAAUCUGGGGUGGAGGAAGAAUUUUCAAAAGCCAGCAUCGCCAUCAUCGCCACCUUCAAACAUCAUACUAGGUGCGAAUCAACGAGGAAGCAGCCUUUAUGAGUCACCCGACAUGCUAGAAAUAACAGUCAACCUUCCUUCAACCACACUCUGCAGGAU